ACAUCAUCCUGAAGAUGUGGAAGUGGGGGUUGUGGGUUCUGUAUGCCAGCACGUUGUUCAACCCCUCUUCUAGCUGCUAUCAGUGCUUUGUGGAGGUUGAAGACAGUAUACGUCUGUGUUGGGGACACAUCCUCACCGAAUACAACAUUCGAAAUGUAGACUUGUGCUUUAGAAAACUAGGGAGUAUAUUCAAUAACAACCAGAAAGUGAUUGAGGCAGGGCGAGUUGGGAAAGGCUACGAUCAGAAGCUGAAGGAGAUCCUAAAUGCUGAGAUCAUGCCCAUGGUGUUGGGAGACGACAUUAAAUAAAUGUUUUUGGAGAGAGA